AUUGAACGCUGGCGGCAGGCCUAACACAUGCAAGUCGAACGAGUGGCGGACGGGGGAGUAAAGUGUGGGAAAAUGCGCGAUAGAGAGGGAUAACAAAUGGAAAAGAUGUCUCAAACAGCAUACCAUCGGCGAUGCCCCGAUGGGGUUGGCUAGUAGGUGGGGUAACGGCGAACCUCGGCGACGAUCCCUCGCUGGGCUGAGAGGAUGACCAGCCACCUUGGAACUGAGACACGGUCCAGACUCCUACGGGAGGCAGCAGUGGGGAAUAUUGCACAAUGGGCGAAAGCCUGAUGCAGCCAUGCCGCGUGUAUGAAGAAGGCCUUCGGGUUGUAAAGUACUUUCAGCGAGGAGGCGUUACUCGCAGAAGAAGCACCGGCUAACUCCGUGCCAGCAGCCGCGGUAAUUC
rnacentral:rRNA from 1 species